rnacentral:rRNA from 1 species
CGUCGCCACGGUAAUACAGAGGGUGCAAGCGUUAAUCGGAUUUACUGGGCGUAAAGGGCGCGUAGGUGGUUAUGUAAGUGAGAUGUGAAAUCCCCGGGCUCAACCUGGGAACUGCAUCUUAUACUGCGUAGCUGGAGUGCAGUAGAGGGUAGUGGAAUUUCCGGUGUAGCGGUGAAAUGCGUAGAUAUCGGAAGGAACACCAGUGGCGAAGGCGGCUAUCUGGACUGACACUGACACUGAGGCGCGAAAGCGUGGGGAGCAAACAGGAUUAGAUACCCGGUAGUCCAUGUCUCUUAUACAC